rnacentral:lncRNA from 1 species
GGUCAUUGAAAAUCCAUUCCCCUAUUUGAUAUUUGAAAAUUUCCAAUAUAGGGUAGAGAUCAUUAAGGCCUUUAUUUGAAACGAAAUUAUUCUUUCAUAGGCUCAAAUGGGAGAGCAAGUGAUAAAAAUCUGUAUAGGUAGUGAAACAAAUGCUCAAAGUAUCAUUCCAAAUUUUCAAAACAAACAAGAAUAAUGCACAUUUUUGCUUUCACUUAGAUGUGAAUUGAAUCCGGUUAAACCAAUGGGGAUUUUUCCAAGCAAAGAAUGUCCCAAUUUGCAAUUUAUCAAUCAAUGUCACUGAUUUUAUUUUGGGGUUAAGUGAAGGAAAAAAGAUAUCUCAUUGGGCCUUCUGAAUGACCUCUUUUAAUUCUGAACACUCUUAUUGUGAAUUUUCAGGUCGGAGGUUGAAAAAAUCCCAAUUUAGUCUUAUUUCUUAAAAUUCAUCAUGAAAUCUCCAAUGAAUAAGAAUAAAGAAUAAAAUGUACAUAAAUAUACACAAAACAAUGAUUGUCCAAAAAGUUUAUUGCUGAAAAAGUUUGAAACAAAAUUUCUCAUUCAAUUAUGAUACAAAUGAGAAGAGAGAAAAUUGUAAAGAGUUCCACAUAUACACUUUUUGUCUCCUUUUUCAAAUAUACAAAAUUUUCCUUUGGAAAACAAUUACAACAUUUCUCAGAGGGUUUUCAUCGUAGGACCCGCCCAAGAAUCAAAUAACACUUGUAAUCUUCAAACUUCAUUGGAUUAAAAUUAUCAUCAGAUAUAGAAGAAUAUUUCCGUCUUAUUGAAAUAUUUUUAUGAAUGCAAGGGAGGGGGGAAACAAAAGAAAAAUACCCCGAGUUAGUAGACAAAACUGCAAAAUCGGUAUGCAUGUCCUAUGGGAGAACCCUUUUAUGCCAAGGGUAGGCCUAGCAUGAAAAUGCAAUCCUCCAGAGCAGGCACUAUACAAUACCUGAUGGAUCCAAUCAGCUCAUGGAGUGAAAAAUAAUUUUGAAAGAAUUUGGUCAAUUGGGGUGACGAGAGAUUUGUCAAAAUGAGG